CCUACGGGAGGCAGCAGUGGGGAAUAUUGGGCAAUGGGCGCAAGCCUGACCCAGCAACGCCGCGUGAAGGAAGAAGGCUUUCGGGUUGUAAACUUCUUUUAAGAGGGAAGAGAAGAAGACGGUACCUCUUGAAUAAGCCACGGCUAACUACGUGCCAGCAGCCGCGGUAAUACGUAGGUGGCAAGCGUUGUCCGGAUUUACUGGGUGUAAAGGGCGUGCAGCCGGGCUGACAAGUCAGAUGUGAAAUCCCGAGGCUCAACCGCGGAACUGCCUUGGGAACUGUCAGUCUUGAGUACAGGAGAGGUCAUCGGAAUCCAUUGUGGAGCGGUGAAAUGAGUAGAGAUAAGGAAGAAAACCAGUGGCGAAGGCGGAUGAUGGGACGGCAACUGACGGUGAGGCGCGAAAGCGUGGGGAGCAAACAGGAUUAGAUACCCCAGUAGU
rnacentral:rRNA from 1 species